UACGUAGGUGGCAAGCGUUGUCCGGAUUUACUGGGCGUAAAGGGCGUGCAGGCGGUUUGUUAAGUGCAGGGUGAAAGCUCCCGGCUCAACUGGGAGAGGUCCUUGCAUACUGGCAAACUCGAGGGAGGCAGAGGAAAGUGGAAUUCCCGGUGUAGUGGUGAUAUGCGUAGAUAUCGGGAGGAACACCGGUGGCGAAGGCGGCAUUCUGGACCGAAACUGACGCUGAGGCGCGAAAGCCAGGGGAGCAAACGGG
rnacentral:rRNA from 1 species